UACGUAGGGCGCAAGCGUUAUCCGGAAUUAUUGGGCGUAAAGAGCUCGUAGGCGGUUUGUCGCGUCUGCCGUGAAAGUCCGGGGCUCAACUCCGGAUCUGCGGUGGGUACGGGCAGACUAGAGUGAUGUAGGGGAGACUGGAAUUCCUGGUGUAGCGGUGAAAUGCGCAGAUAUCAGGAAGAACACCCGUGGCUAAGGCGGCUCUCUAGUACGUGACUGACGCUGAGACGCGAAAGCGUGGGGAGCGAACAGG
rnacentral:rRNA from 1 species